UACGGGGGGGGCAAGCGUUGUUCGGAAUUACUGGGCGUAAAGGGCUCGUAGGCGGCCAACUAAGUCAGACGUGAAAUCCCUCGGCUUAACCGGGGAACUGCGUCUGAUACUGGAUGGCUUGAGUUUGGGAGAGGGAUGCGGAAUUCCAGGUGUAGCGGUGAAAUGCGUAGAUAUCUGGAGGAACACCGGUGGUGAAGGCGGCAUCCUGGACCAACACUGACGCUGAGGAGCGAAAGCCAGGGGAGCAAACGGG
rnacentral:rRNA from 1 species